GAUGAAGAACGCAGCGAAAUGCGAUAAGUAAUGUGAAUUGCAGACUUCAGUGAAUCAUCGAAUCUUUGAACGCACAUUGCGCCCCUUGGUAUUCCGAGGGGCAUGCCUGUUCGAGCGUCAUAUUAACCACUCCCGCUUGCGGGGUCUUGGGCUUCGCCUCCGGGCGGGCCUUAAAAUCAGUGGCGGUGCCGUCGGGCUCUACGCGUAGUAAAUUUUCUCGCGAUAGGGUCCCGGUGGAUGCUUGCCAACAACCCCCAACUUCUUAAGGUUGACCUCGGAUCAGGUAGGGAUACCCGCUGAACUUAAGCAUAUCAAUAAGCGGAGGA
rnacentral:misc_RNA from 1 species